ACCAAUUGUCAAUUAUGAAAUUGAGAUAAAUAGAUGUGACUGAUUAAAAUAACUGUAGCUCAAAUUAAAUAAAUAUGGUAGAAAAAGAUAUCUGAGGACUUUUCAAAUGAAAUCUAUUUGAAGAUAUUAAAAGUGUAUAUGGCAGUUGAAAAAGAUAUUAAUAAAUAAAACAGUUGGUAGGCUAAAUUUCUCAUGCUGACCUUGCAAAAAACAAAGGGAGUUACAAACUAUUUCGAAAAAGUCAGACUCACAAAAUGUUUUGAAAAAGCCUAGGUUACAAAAUAUUAAGAAAAUUUUGUGCACAUAAAAUGUUUAGAAAAAGUCAGGCU
rnacentral:lncRNA from 1 species